GGGUAUUACAAUGUACAGAUGUACACUGUGUAAGACCUCCCAUGGGUAUUACAAUGUACAGAGGUUCACUGUGAAAGACCUCCCAUGGGUAUUACAAUGUACAGAGGUACACUGUGUAAUACCUCCCAUGGGUAUUACAAUGUACAGAGGUACACUGUACGUGUAAGACCCAAAUCAUUUUGGAACAAAAUACAUUGUAUAUAUCUACUGCAAAAUGUGCAGUAAAUAUUCAUUGCACGUUUUCACCAAAACACUAAUCCAUGGGAAAAUUGCAAACAGACUGGUGUGGUAUACACUAAAAGUGCUGUGAAUCUGUGACCAAUGGUAAGUAAAACGGUUAUCAUUGGUGGAGUAUAGCCCACCUAACCACUGCUGGUCCUAGACUGUGUGACCUCAGUGGAGUAUAGCCUACCUAACCACUGUUGGUCCUAGACUGUGUGACCUCAGUGGAGUAUAGCCCACCUAACCACUGCUGGUCCUAGACUGUGUGAUCUCAGUGAAGUAUAGCCCA